GUCUCAUUAAAUUUCAUCUGAUCUCAUCUGAUUUUAGAAGUUAAGCUGGGUCAGAACUGGUUAGUACUUAGAUAUGAGAAAAUUUAGCACACUGGGGACC
rnacentral:rRNA from 1 species